rnacentral:rRNA from 1 species
UUCCGGUUGAUCCUGCCGGACCCCACUGCUAUCGGGAUGGGACUAAGACAUGCUAGUCGUGCGCUUCCAAGCCACGGUGGAAGCGCGGCGCACAGCUCAGUAGCACGUGGCUAACCUGCCCUUGGGACGGAAAUAACCCCGGGAAACUGGGGCUAAUUUCCGAUAGGUGAAGACUCCUGGAAUGGAUCUUCGCCGAAAGGGCGUCUAGACCAUGCUUCUAGGCGCUGCCCAAGGAUGGGGCCGCGGCCGAUCAGGUUGUUGGUGAGGUAACGGCUCACCAAGCCUUUGACCGGUGCGGGCCGUGAGAGCGGGAGCCCGGAGAUGGGCACUGAGACAAGGGCCCAGGCCCUACGGGGCGCAGCAGUCGCGAAAACUCCGCAAUACACGAAAGUGUGACGGGGCCAUCCCGAGUGCCGUCCGCUGAGGACGGCUUUUCCCCAGUGUAUACAGCUGGGGGAAUAAGGAGAGGGCAAGCCUGGUGUCAGCCGCCGCGGUAAUACCAGCUCUCCGAGUGGUGGGGACGCUUAUUGGGCCUAAAGCAUCCGUAGCCGGCUGGGCAAGUCCUCCGUUAAAUCCAACGAUUCAAUCGUUGGACUGCGGGGGAUACUGUCCAGCUUGGGGGCGGGAGAGGCCGACCGGUAUUCCCGGGGUAGGGGUGAAAAUCCUAUAAUCCCGGGAAGACCACCAGUGGCGAAGGCUGUCGGCUAGAACGCGCCCGACGGUGAGGGAUGAAAGCUGGGGGAGCGAACCGGAUUAAAUACCCGGGUAGUCCCAGCUGUAAACGAUGCAGGCUAGGUGUUAGAACGGCUACGGGCCGUUCUAGUGCCGCAGGGAAGCCGUUAAGCCUGCCGCCUGGGGAGUACGGCCGCAAGGCUGAAACUUAAAGGAAUUGGCGGGGGAGCACCACAAGGGGUGAAGCUUGCGGUUUAAUUGGAUUCAACGCCGG